GAUAUAUUCCAGUUUUGAUUAUCUAACUAUAAUUCUUUUGGUUUACAUCAGGCACUCUGCACUCCAAUGUAUCAAUUUUUUAUGAUCCAUUGAAUUGCAAUAGCUGGGGAUUGGUUGCAGGGUCUUUAUGUCUACUAUCUUUAUAGUCAGUAUGGUUUUGGGAAAGGGGAGAUUGAACAGCUUUUUAUUGCUGGAUUUGGGUCCUCCAUGCUGUUUGGGACAAUUGUUGGAUCUCUGGCUGGCAAACGGUGAGAUUUAUGCUCUGAAUGCAGGGGUCGAAAGAGGGCAUGUGUGAUAGACUGCAUAACAUACAUCUUGAGCUGCAUCACCAAGCACUCUCCUCAAUACAAGGUUUUGAUGGUGGGCCGCAUGAAGGAGUUGGUGCAUUUGUAGUUGUAUGUUACCUGUUUGCAUCUAAGUAAUUCCUAGAGUAUUAGUAGUUCCAGAAAUUAUAUUGGAGUUUUGGUUUUGUAUUGGACUAUGUAGUUGAUGUAGAUAAUAUUAAGUUCUCAAAUUCUUGUAAAAACCCAGGUGCUAACUUGUAAUUUUAACUUCACUUUGGCCAUUGAGCAGUUUGUAAAACAGUGAUGAUUUAAUGGGUCUUGAGAAGCAGUUUUAAUA